rnacentral:rRNA from 1 species
UGGGGAAUUUUGGACAAUGGGGGCAACCCUGAUCCAGCAAUGCCGCGUGUGUGAAGAAGGCCUUCGGGUUGUAAAGCACUUUUGUCCGGAAAGAAAACUUCGGGGCUAAUACCCCUGGAGGAUGACGGUACCGGAAGAAUAAGCACCGGCUAACUACGUGCCAGCAGCCGCGGUAAUACGUAGGGUGCGAGCGUUAAUCGGAAUUACUGGGCGUAAAGCGUGCGCAGGCGGUGCUGUAAGACCGAUGUGAAAUCCCCGGGCUUAACCUGGGAACUGCAUUGGUGACUGCAGCGCUGGAGUAUGGCAGAGGGGGGUGGAAUUCCACGUGUAGCAGUGAAAUGCGUAGAGAUGUGGAGGAACACCGAUGGCGAAGGCAGCCCCCUGGGCCAAUACUGACGCUCAUGCACGAAAGCGUGGGGAGCAAACA